AGCAGAAUGGCCUAGUGGAAAGGUCACUGGGAGUCAGAGGACCUGGGUUCUAAUCCCAGCUCUGCCA
rnacentral:tRNA from 1 species